CCAGAAUCGAACCCAGAACUCUUCAGUCCGCAGGCCGACACUCUAUCCACUGAGCCAAACAGGUCUGAUUGCUAGAAGACGUAAGUCAGAUGCCUGAGCCUAUUUCAUACUUGCCCUACAGGAAAAUUAAGACGAAAGGCACAUGUAGAUACAAAAACUCCAGAACCUUUGACGACAGACCACACUUCCUUGAAUAUGAUGCAAAAGGGGAAAGAAACGUAAUUGAAGUAGAGGUAACACGCCAAGAGAAAUAAUAGACUGCUGAAUUGGAGAAAUGAAGUACAAUAUUGUCACAAAUAAGCUGGGCCUUAAAACUAUGUCAAGGCCCUGGCUGGGUAGUUCAGUUAGAGCAUUGUCCCCAUACACCAAGGUUACGGGCUCAACCUUUGGUUAUGGUAUGUAACAGAAGUAACCAGUGAAUGCAUAAAUAAGUGAAAUAACAUUGAUAUGUCUCAAAAUAUAUAUA